GAGUGAGUGAUGUUCCUGCUACUGCCUGGGCCACAGAGAGGAUGCAGUGACUAAUACAAGCAACAAACUAUUUCCUUUUAGCUCAAAACGGUUUCGGCUGGUAUUGUCAGAGCUGUAGGACCAACAUUCAAGCUUCGUUUCCCCAGGGACUAAAACUGAGUAAACAGAGCGAUGAAUGCUGCUGGCUGCAGGCCGUUCUGGAAGAGCCCAAUCAGAGCAGUCUAUUGGAAUCGCUCCUGCUUCAUUGCAAUGCCCCUUGUGAAGUAGAACAGAUGGGUGCCACGGGAGCAACUAAUGAAGGUUUGCUGCUCAGACAGAUGAUCAGUCAAUUCGCUGGGGAAAAUAAAAAGGGGUAUUCAAAUGGAAAA